UACGAGGGGGGCUAGCGUUGUUCGGAAUUACUGGGCGUAAAGCGCACGUAGGCGGGUUGUUAAGUCAGGGGUGAAAUCCUGGAGCUCAACUCCAGAACUGCCUUUGAUACUGGCAACCUAGAGACUGGAAGAGGUUAGUGGAAUUCCCAGUGUAGAGGUGAAAUUCGUAGAUAUUGGGAAGAACACCAGUGGCGAAGGCGGCUAACUGGUCCAGCACUGACGCUGAGGUGCGAAAGCGUGGGGAGCAAACAGG
rnacentral:rRNA from 1 species